GAUUCUGUAGCUCAAUGGUAGAGCAGUGGGCUGUUAACCCAAAGGUUGAAGGUUCAAAUCCUUCCAGAAUCGC
rnacentral:tRNA from 1 species